rnacentral:rRNA from 1 species
AACGAACGCUGGCGGCAGGCUUAACACAUGCAAGUCGAACGAGAUCUUCGGAUCUAGUGGCAGACGGGUGAGGAACACGUGGGAACAUCCCUUUCAGUUCGGAAUAACGUUGGGAAACUAACGCUAAUACCGGAUACGUCCUUCGGGAGAAGGAUUUAUCGCUGAAAGAUUGGCCCGCGUCUGAUUAGCUAGUUGGUGAGGUAAUGGCUCACCAAGGCUACAAUCAGUAGCUGAUCUGAGAGGAUGAUCAGCCACAUUGGGACUGAGACACGGCCCAAACUCCUACGGGAGGCAGCAGUGGGGAAUAUUGGACAAUGGGCGCAAGCCUGAUCCAGCCAUGCCGCGUGAGUGAUGACGGCCUUCGGGUUGUAAAGCUCUUUUGUCCGGGAAGAUAAUGACUGUACCGGAAGAAUAAGCCCCGGCAAACUUCGUGCCAGCCGCCGCAGUAA